rnacentral:rRNA from 1 species
GACGAACGCUGGCGGCGUGCCUAAUACAUGCAAGUCGAGCGAAGUUUUUCUGGUGCUUGCACCGGAAAAACUUAGCGGCGAACGGGUGAGUAACACGUAAAGAACCUGCCUCAUAGACUGGGACAACUAUUGGAAACGAUAGCUAAUACCGGAUAAUAGCAUUAACUGCAUGGUUGAUGUUUAAAAGUUGGUUUUGCUAACACUAUGAGAUGGCUUUGCGGUGCAUUAGCUAGUUGGUGGGGUAAAGGCCUACCAAGGCGACGAUGCAUAGCCGACCUGAGAGGGUGAUCGGCCACACUGGGACUGAGACACGACCCAGACUCCUACGGGAGGCAGCAGUAGGGAAUCUUCCGCAAUGGGCGAAAGCCUGACGGAGCAACGCCGCGUGAGUGAAGAAGGAUUUCGGUUCGUAAAGCUCUGUUGUUAGGGAAGAAUGAUUGUGUAGUAACUAUACACAGUAGAGACGGUACCUAACCAGAAAGCCACGGCUAACUACGUG